rnacentral:tRNA from 1 species
GGCCCGUUGUUCAAGUGGUUAAGACACCGCCCUUUCACGGCGGUAACACGGGUUCGAAUCCCGUACGGGUCA